rnacentral:rRNA from 1 species
GACGAACGCUGGCGGCGUGCCUAAUACAUGCAAGUAGAACGCACAGUUUAUACCGUAGCUUGCUACACAAUAGACUGUGAGUUGCGAACGGGUGAGUAACGCGUAGGUAACCUGCCUGGUAGCGGGGGAUAACUAUUGGAAACGAUAGCUAAUACCGCAUAAUAUUAAUUAUUGCAUGAUAAUUAAUUGAAAGGUGCAAUUGCACCACUACCAGAUGGACCUGCGUUGUAUUAGCUAGUAGGUGAGGUAACGGCUCACCUAGGCGACGAUACAUAGCCGACCUGAGAGGGUGAUCGGCCACACUGGGACUGAGACACGGCCCAGACUCCUACGGGAGGCAGCAGUAGGGAAUCUUCGGCAAUGGACGAAAGUCUGACCGAGCAACGCCGCGUGAGUGAAGAAGGUUUUCGGAUCGUAAAGCUCUGUUGUAAGAGAAGAACGGGUGUGAGAGUGGAAAGUUCACACUGUGACGGUAUCUUACCAGAAAGAGACGGCUAACUACGUG